UAUUUAAAUUCAAUUAUAAAAAUAUAGUUAUUCUAAUACUUGGUCCUUUCGUACUAAAAUAUUAUAAAUUAUUAAAGAUAGAAACCAACCUGGCUUACGCCGGUCUGAACUCAGAUCAUGUAAGAAUUUAAAAGUCGAACAGACUUAACAUUUAAGCAGCUACACCUAAAAAUAUAUCUUAAUCCAACAUCGAGGUCGCAAACUUUUUUAUCGAUAGGAACUCUCCAAAAAAAUUACGCUGUUAUCCCUAAAGUAACUUAAUCUUAUAAUCGUUAUUAACGGAUCAAUUAUUCAUAAAUUAAUGAUUAAAUAAAAUUAAAAGUUCAUUAAAUUUUAAUAUCACCCCAACAAAAUAUUUUAUUUUAAAAAAAUAAACUAAAUCUAAAAAAUUAAUAUAAUACAAAAUAUAAAGAUUUAUAGGGUCUUCUCGUCUUUUAAUAAAAUUUUAGCUUUUUAACUAAAAUAUAAAAUUCUAUAAUAAAUUUAAAUGAAACAGCUUAUACCUCG
rnacentral:rRNA from 1 species